rnacentral:rRNA from 1 species
AGCGCGCGACCCUAGCGAGUAGUAGGUAAGCAAUGGAGAGACGCAGGAAGGUAGCCGAACCGCGGCGAUGGUUGUUCCGCGGGUAAGGGUGUAGGGCGAGGUGUAGGCAAAUCCGCACCUCAUGUGCCUGAGACCUGACACGGACCCGUAAGGGGAAGUCGGUGAUCCUAUGCCGCCAAGAAAAUCUUCUAGCGAGGUUCUAGCCGCCCGUACCCCAAACCGACUCAGGUGGUUAGGUAGAGAAUACCAAGGCGAUCGAGUGAAUCGUGGUUAAGGAAUUCGGCAAAAUACCCCCGUAACUUCGGGAGAAGGGGGGCCCAGAGGGUGACGGGACUUGCUCCCCGAGCCUGAACGGCCGCAGAGACCAGGGAGAAGCGACUGUUUACUAAAAACACAGGUCCGUGCCAAGUCGCAAGACGAUGUAUACGGACUGACGCCUGCCCGGUGCUGGAACGUUAAGGGGACCGGUUAGCCUCACGGCGAAGCUGAGAACUUAAGCGCCAGUAAACGGCGGUGGUAACUAUAACCAUCCUAAGGUAGCGAAAUUCCUUGUCGGGUAAGUUCCGACCUGCACGAAUGGCGUAACGACUUCUCCACUGUCUCAACCACGAACUCGGCGAAAUUGCACUACGAGUAAAGAUGCUCGUUACGCGCAGAAGGACGGAAAGACCCCGGGACCUUUACUACAGCUUGGUAUUGGUGUUCGGUACGGCUUGUGUAGGAUAGGUGGGAGACUGUGAAGCUGACACGCCAGUGUCGGUGGAGUCAACGUUGAAAUACCACUCUGGUCGUUCUGGAUAUCUAACCUAGGUCCGUAAUCCGGAUCAGGGACAGUGCCUGGUGGGUAGUUUAACUGGGGCGGUUGCCUCCUAAAAGGUAACGGAGGCGCCCAAAAGGUUCCCUCAGCCUGGUUGGCAAUCAGGUUUCGAGUGUAAGUGCACAAGGGAGCUUGACUGUGAGACUGACAAGUCGAACAGGGACGAAAGUCGGGACUAGUGAUCCGGCGGUGGCUUGUGGAAGCGCCGUCGCUCAACGGAUAAAAGGUACCCCGGGGAUAACAGGCUGAUCUUGCCCAAGAGUCCAUAUCGACGGCAUGGUUUGGCACCUCGAUGUCGGCUCGUCGCAUCCUGGGGCUGGAGUAGGUCCCAAGGGUUGGGCUGUUCGCCCAUUAAAGCGGUACGCGAGCUGGGUUUAGAACGUCGUGAGACAGUUCGGUCCCUAUCCUCUGCGCGCGCAGGAAACUUGAUAAGGGCUGUCCCUAGUACGAGAGGACCGGGAUGGACGAACCUCUGGUGUGUCAGUUGUUCUGCCAAGAGCACCGCUGAUUAGCUACGUUCGGGAGUGAUAACCGCUGAAAGCAUCUAAGCGGGAAGCAUGCUUCAAGAUGAGGUUUCCAUGGGGUUUACCCCGAGAGGCUCCCAGCUAGACUACUGGGUUGAUAGGCCGGAUGUGGAAGUGCGGUAACGCAUGGAGCUGACCGGUACUAAUAAGCC